UUGCAUGUCUAAGGGGACAGCUAUUAAAGGGAUACAGUUCAGAGCUGGGCCUCUUUCUUAUUUUCUGCAGGCCUGAAGACAUACAAUUUGGAAGUAGGAAAUGAAGGAAAGAAAGUUUAGAUGGUGCAGAUGAACUGCAUUCCCUCCCUCCACCAGCUUGUCCAGCUCCUCUGCGACAGACAGCAAGAAGAAACAAAACCAGAGGAGAAGAAUGGAGCUGGAUUGUCUGUGAAGACCCUGCCAGGCUGCAAAAAAGCUGUAUUCGUAAUGCAGAGAAUGCAGCUGGAGGAGCUCUUUGAUUUAACUGUUGUUACUGAUAUCUGUGUAGCAUCAAGUGACUUAGAGGAGGAAGUUAUCUUAGAAUUCUGGAAAGAUUCAAGGUGAUUAGACAGUUGAGGAGUAAGAGUUCAAAGCCAGGACCACUCAUUUCAGGCAAGGCUUGGGCAGUGACGUAAAUCCUUAGCCAAGAGCUAUAAUAGUCUUCUUUAGGCUCCUUGAAGAUAGGAGCCAGAUCUUAAUCCUUUCUGCAUCUACAGUGAAUUGUAUAGAACAAUAGUAGGUGCUUCAUGAGUAGCUGUCAGAUGAUGGCUUUGUGUAUCACCAAAGGAAUGGGCCUUUCUGUGUCCUCUUGCAGCUCUGGUGCUCAUGGAUUAAAUUGUUUGGUCCCUUUCAGUUCUUUCUGGCUUAUUGGAUACUCUCAACUACAUAGUUGGAACCCUCCUUUUCCCACAAAGUAGUGUCUCCCAUAAAGACUUUUUGGCUAGAUUCUGUAACUUGUCAGCCAUUUUUGAUUACAAGAAUGGUUCUUAUUCUAUUAUUUAAGACUCA
rnacentral:lncRNA from 1 species